GGGUCGUAGUUCAGUUGGUUAGAACGCCGGCCUGUCACGCCGGAGGUCGCGAGUUCGACUCUCGUCGGCCC
rnacentral:tRNA from 1 species